CUCCCCAGCAGCUACCUCUCUGACUCACGCCCUCACCCUCAGAGUGAGUAAUUAAAGUUCUGCUCCCUGUUAUGGAAUAAAUGGUACAUGUUUUAAUUACCCCGAGCCUACCCAGGCAUCCUCACACCCCCGCCCAAGACUGUGAAUCUGGUGGAGUGGGGGAAAGGGUGGGGGGACAGUUCCGAGAAAGAAAGAGCUUCUGUGAGAGUGACAGCGGUCUGUCUCCCGGGGUCUGGAAUUCGCUGGGGAACCGUCAGUUACUAAGGAAACUAGGAGGAAGAGAAGAAGGGAGAGAGGCGGUUGGAUCCAAUUUUGGGCGACAAGUGUGAGGCAUAAAGAUGUUGGACCCUCUGCGCAUCCUAGAUGCUCGGUGGCAGCAUCUUCAGGGGUGGGUAGGGCAGGUCAUCAGAGAGGGGUCACCUGGAGGCCACGCCCUUCUCAGGAGCCCAAGGCAGGUCAAGGGGAUGGAGACACAAAGGUAGGAGCAGCGAUGGGCCGGGACAGUGACCAGAAGCUGUGUGUGUGUGUAUCCACCCACAAGCACACAAUCGUUCACACCCAUGUUUGUGCAUGUCCAUGUUUUUAUCCUUUUCGGUCUUUGGGGUGUUUUCUUUUUGUGUUCCUCCUUCCCAGUUUGCAACUUAUCUCACUUCCAUCUUUUCUCCUUUUUCUGGCAAGCAUGGUUCUGUCCCCUUCUUUUCUCUCUCUCUCCUCUCUCCAUCUCUGUCUUCAUCUCUGUCUUCUCUUCCCCUGCUUCUCCAUCUGCCACCCUACCCUGCAUCCCCCAAUCUCUCUUUCUCUGCUUGUCCAGUUAACCCCCCUCCCAGGCCCUCCCUCUCUGCCUCUCUUUCCCUGUCUCUGUGUCUGUCGGACUCUGGCUCAGACAUGACACUGUGAACUCUAAGGGCAAGAGACCUCGGGACACAGGAGCAUCCCUGCCUGCCCUGACUCCCCUCCCAGGCCCGGCUGAUUCCUCCUGCACCAAGGAGCCACAGCACCCAGGGCUUCAUUGGAUCAGCUCUCAAAAUCCAAUGCUGUGGGGAGGGAGGAACUUGGCCCAUAUAGGUCCCCAUUGUUUCUGAAACAGAAGCAGAGACCAGGAGAGAAGGGAAGGGCUAGGGGCGGGCCCUGAACCAGCCCAAACAAGGGGGAGGGGGAGCUCCAGCCCGUGAGGGAGGCAGGGCUUAUUUCUGGGCUUUUGGCUGAAGGACAGACAGGAAGCUCCACAGAAUGAAGGGUGUGAGUCACCAGCACAGUGGGGCUUGGGCCUGGCUUGUGGCAGGGCAUUCUGGAAGCCAUUCAGGAAUCCCACGAGCAUGCCAGGUCCUGGGGAGAACCCACCAUUCCCCGGAAAAAGCCGUUCCAGCUGACCCAGGCUUGGAUCCUUUCCUGUUCCCCCUCCUGGUAAAGAGAGGGCCCAGGUUCCGUGUGGCCUCACCCCUGGCUCCCAGGAUCCCUCAGGGAGAGCCCAGUGCUCCGGAGGGACAGAGCACCACACCCCACAUCCCGCAAACCCCGACACCAGCUGCUCAGAGGGGCCGGCAGUGGUGGAGGACCACUCAGGCUGCCCUGCCCAGAGCAGGAAUAGCCUAAGAGGUGGGUUGCCUUUCUCUCCUGGACCAAGAUUUUGGGAAGCCUGGGAAGGGGGCGCUCUCCAGUCAGAUGCCUGACAGCCGCCUGGAGGCACUUCCAGAAGACCAAGGUCCUCUCGGAGCCAGAAUCUCAGCAGAAGUUCAAGGCCAAGGUGGUUCAGCAGUAAAGAAUCUGCCUGCGAGGCGGGAGCCACAAGAGACCCGAGUAUGAUCCCUGGGUCAAGAAGAUCUCCUGGAGGAGGGCAUGGCCACCCACUCCAGUAUUCCUGCCUGGAGAAUCCUACAGACAGAUGAGCUACAGGAUGAGCUAUGGAGAGCUCCAGCCCAUGGGGUCAAAAAGAGUCAGAGCCAGACACAACUGAAGGGACUUAGCACACAUGCUCGCACACCCUAUAACAUUUCUACAGCCUAAAUUUGGGGGGGGGGGUUCCUUCUGACUUGAGAAGAAAUUAAAACCUUUCCAGAUGCCUAAUGGAAACAUGAACCCUGAGUCCAGCCUCUUCAUCUUGCUGAUGAGACAGAAGCCCAGAAGAGGACAAGGUCUGCCUGCCAUCACACAGCAGGCACUGGCUGGGCUGGGGGGCCACAAGUAAGUCUUCUGAGCCAGACUAGGGUUCUCUUCAUUACCCCUUUAACCUCUUUCAGGAGACAGAAGAAUCCCUGCUACCUACACUGCAAGCCAAGGAAGAGCCCCCUUGCCCAGCCCCUCCAGGCCCCUUUGAUUGCCCACCACGUGGAGAGAGCCUGGUUGGUUUCCACCCACUCCUCCCCGCCCUCCCAGCAGAAGCUUUCCCUCCCCCAGUCCUGGCCAGGCAGCCAAGUCACCACCACCACCACAGCUCUUUGGCCUGCUGUCUUAUUAAUUCCUAAUUUCCAAUUUGCAAGAGAGAGCCUUAAACCUCCAUCUCACCAGCCCAGCAAUCACACAGAUGUACCAAGUAUCUCUGGACAGCCUUUAAUUUAUCUCCCAGCGCACGCGGGCACUGCUGAGAGACUUGAUGGCACCAGCUUAAACAUAAUAAAUUACUCAAGUACCAGAGAUUAGUUAAUAAAGCUCCAGGCUCCCUCCAAGCCCCUGCUGACUUGGUCGAUGACACCAAAGGUUCCUUUGACGCUGCCCAGUGUGGGGCAGGAGCACCUGUGAUAGGUGUCCCUGCUCUGAGCCAGCUGUCCAGUCCUCCUCAGAACCCUUGUCGCCAGGCAGAAGUGGUAACGUGGCAGAGAGGAAGGGGCCCCAAGAAACGCCAGGGCAGACUCGAAGUUCCCACUCCAGGCCUCAGUAUAUCAAUGGGGUCAUUAUCAAAUGGUGGCAAGUCUGACCCUUGCUUGGGCACAGCUUGGAAGACCAGGGGUCAGAGGAUGCCCAAGAAUGAAGCAAGAUGUCAGCUACCUUUGGAGCCAGGUGAAGGGAAUGGAAAUGUUUUCUUGAAGACACAAAGGGCCAGAGAUAGUCUGAGGCAUUUGAAGGCCCGUCUCUGCCCCUCACUCCAGGUACCUGCCAGGCGUGUCUUCGUUGGGCCUCGCAUCCACACCAUCUACCGUCUUCUCAUCCCCGAUGACACAGUAGUCCUCCAACAGUCCUGCCUCGUCCAUAUGGACACAGUCCACCCCCUCUCUCCACCAGCAUCAUCUUUAUAUAGCCCAGCUCUAGCCACAUCACUCCUCUGACUACAGUGUGGGAUGCUCUUCCAUUGCUUACCUAAUAAAACUGGCUCCAUACCUUGGAAUGCA